UACGGGGGGAGCAAGCGUUGUUCGGAUUUACUGGGCGUAAAGGGCGCGUAGGCGGUCAGCACAAGUCAGUUGUGAAAUCUCCGGGCUUAACUCGGAAAGGUCAACUGAUACUGUGCGACUAGAGUGCGGAAGGGGGCAACUGGAAUUCUUGGUGUAGCGGUGAAAUGCGUAGAUAUCAAGAGGAACACCUGCGGCGAAGGCGGGUUGCUGGGGCCGACACUGACGCUGAGGCGCGAAAGCCAGGGGGAGCGAACGGGG
rnacentral:rRNA from 1 species